CAAUGAUUUUUAAAUUCAUGAUAUAAAAUGAAUGAUAUUUUAAAUUGUUACAUGUUAUAAUUCUAGAUGUUUAAAUGCUGCGUGCCUUUUGAAUUGUUAUGGUUUCAACGCGCGUGCGAGUCGCAUUCAAAGUUGUCCGAUUCAAAGACAGGAGCGCACGCGAGCAGAUGGAAACCAUGGAAACGAGGAAACCUCUUCAACUGACAAACAGCAAAGAACAGCGUCUCUCUGUUUUUCCACUGCUUUCAGUCUAGAAAAUCAUCAUGAUAUCCUGCUACAGCCCUGUCCCAAGACAACCUCCACGGCUAUGAACUCGACUAAUGAGAUAUCAUUUGACCCUGUGAUUCUUCAGGACCAGAUCUUGAUGCCAUCCACACCCAGUACAUGACAAAGAUGCUGUGACAAAAAGCAGUCAAGCCACUGCAUGUGAUGUGGAAGCCUCUAUGAAGACAUGGCUCCGUAAUCCCUGGGACAGAGAUGGGGAAGGCAAGGAAGGGCCAGAACUGCAGAAAUACCUACUGUUGCCCCUGAGGGGAUUGAUUUUUAAUUUUCAAUCCCCUGUUUUCUGUGGUUAUUGCUGUUUUAAACUGUAUUAUCAUUAAUUAUAAUUAUUAUUAAAUAUAAAUAAAUUAUUUGGGGAAAAAACAUGACCCUCGAUUUAUUGCUGCUAACAAGUCCAAUUGUACUGCAUAUAGUAAUAUGGGUGUACCUACUCUGUGUGCUCAAAUUUUGCAACUGCACCCACAGUGUGCCCACAUCCAGCCUGCUAUAAUUUGUGUGGGCCAGCCCAAAGUCAGCCCACACUUUGGGCUGGCCCACGGUAAGUAGAGUGGGCCCCGAUUGGAGCCA